rnacentral:rRNA from 1 species
GGGGGAAAUUAUUGCACAAUGGGCGCAAGCCUGAUGCAGCCAUGCCGCGUGUGUGAAGAAGGCUUUAGGGUUGUAAAGUUCUUUCGUUCGGGAGGAAGGCGUUGAUGCUAAUAUCUUCCACGAUUGACGUUACCGACAGAAGAAGCACCGGCUAACUCCGUGCCAGCAGCCGCGGUAAUACGGAGGGUGCAAGCGUUAAUCGGAAUUACUGGGCGUAAAGCGCACGCAGGCGGUUGAUUAAGUUAGAUGUGAAAUCCCCGGGCUUAACCUGGGAAUGGCAUCUAAAACUGGUCAACUUGAGUCUUGUAGAGGGGGGUAGAAUUCCAUGUGUAGCGGUGAAAUGCGUAGAGAUGUGGAGGAAUACCGGUGGCGAAGGCGGCCCCCUGGACUAAAACUGACGCUCAGGUGCGAAAGCGUGGGGAGCAAACAGGAUUAGAUACCCCGGUAGU